AGUUUGGUUUUUAAAAUUUUGGUUUAUUUGGUUCGGUUUUUAACCAAAUAAACCGAAUUCUCACCCCUGUAGGUGCAAGUUUGCAAGAUGUGUGUGGUUUGGAUGUUCUCUUAGUCUCAAAUUGGUGGAAUUCUCAAAUCAGAAUGUGGUUAAUUGAAUAAAGGGGUGGUUAGAUAUAGAAUGGGCAAAUAAACCUUCCAAGGUUGAAGAACUAUCCCUUUAAAAUGAAAGUUCUUGGCAAAUAUUACAGGCUUGUAAUAAUAAGAUCUUCAACCAGGUUGUUUCUAACCUUUGUUAUAUGUAAUGCUUGCAAGAUUUUUCAGGAAACAGGAAAAAUAAUAUUGUGACAAGAAUUGCUAAACUAUGACAAAACAUCCAAGGGUAGGUAGAAGAACAGUUUUUUUGCAAGCCAAUUGUGUAAAGAUUUUGACCCUUUUUGGCAAGUCUUUUCGGAAGAUAUAGUGAGCUUUCAGAAGCCCACUAGCUCAAACAAUGGCCUUUUCCCAUUUGGCUCAUGAAAUCUCAAUAGACCAGAAUAUGAUACAUAAAAAGAGACUUUAAAAGCCCAAAGUAGUCUAAAUCCGAGAAGCUUCAAGUGAAGCUUAUGGUCUAUUCGGUCCWUCUCAGCUUCCUGAUACGUGUGCAAAGAGCCACACGUUUGGUAAAACAAUUCAAAAAGGGGUUGAUUGAAACCCCCUUCAUUCUCCACUUUUGACUGAGAGAAACUCUGCUCCCAGUGAUCAAGAAGCAUCGACAUAGGUAUUUUGUUCUCCUUUUCUUCCUUCCAUUUUUCUUCAUCAUUCCAUGUAUUUCUUCUCUCUUCAAAGGUAUUAAUUGAGAUUUUUGUCUUGUAGGAGAUUAAAUACUCGUUGUUCUUCACUGUGUUCAGGUUGUCUUCACCAUCAACUGGGAUCUGUACAAAUCAUUUUGUACGCUUUGAGAAGUGCAAAUGGAAGAAGGGCAUUGCUUUUACAAAGCCAAAACUAAAAGGAAAUAACUACCUAGUCUUAUUUACAAUAUAUAGAGAAAACUAUGAAGUUAUAAACAAGUUCAAAGUCUUAGUUGCAAUAGUUGCAAUCUAUAAAAGCUGAGAUGCUACAGGCAGGAAAAUUGCAAAGGAACUAUAUUAUUAAACCACCAUUUUAUUGGUCCCAUUUAAGAUAUCUUUUAGCAGGAGCCAAAUAGCUUUUCAACUCCACCCUCUGAUUUCAUAAGUUUGAACUUCAAAGCAUAGGAUAUUGCUUCCAAUUAUCUACAUGCUAAUCCUGGGAGAGUGGGAGGUCUAUAGUUCAUACUUGAAGCAUAGAAAACUUUCUCUGAUUUCAUAAAUAUUGAUUCUGUCUAGUAUUUACAAUGGAGGAAUAUGUUGUUCAUGGUACCUUCUACUGACAAUGACAGGCUGCAAGAGAUAUAGAUGCAACAUAUAGGCUACCCACUACCUAAGCAUGAUAUUUUGUCGUGCAGGCUACAUACAUGUAUGAACACUUCAGCAGUACCUUAAAUAAGCUCAUACUGAAUGUAUGUGUGUGUGAGAGAGAUUUUUCUUACUUGGUUUCAUAGUGUUUAAAUAAUAAUCUAAUAUCUACCAGUUAGUAAUUGCUUCA